rnacentral:lncRNA from 1 species
CUGGUGUAGAUCCUUAAUAAAGAUCCAGCAUCCCAAACUCUGAGUCUUCUCCCAAAGAACCCAACCUGUGACACAGUGGACAUCUGGGCAGGGGGCAUUGGUGACCACAGGGACAGCACUUGGUACUAGCUCGUCUCACCCAAGGGCAGCAGAUGUGGAACUGGCCAACCAGGGGGGCAACUUGCUCACCCCCAGGCAGGGCUCUGUCUGCUGACAUCAAGCCAAUUACAGCAUCCUUCUGAGAGGCCGGCAAAGAAAACAAAGGCUCUGCAAGAGGAAAGAGAGACCCCCAGUCAGCACUUGGGCUGUGGAAGCUUUAGGAAUAACACUCAAAAGUGUGGGAGCCAGCCUAGACUGGAAUCCCGGUUCUACUUCACAAGCUGUGUGACCCUGGACAGUGUACUUAACCUCUCAGUUCUGUUAUCUAUAAAAACCUCUUUGGUUGGUCCUGGGGAUUAGCUAAAAUGACAGAAAUGAAAGCACUUUGGAGGAACAAAAAAUGGAAUCCACUGAAGCCUUCAGCUGUGCUGUGUUGUAAAUGAAAGCUGCUUAACCGAGAGUGGCAUAUGGAAUCUCAGACAUGCAUCUGAGUCUCAGCUGUUUACUGUGUGACCCUCAGAUACUCACUCAACCUCUCAGAG